CGAGCCGCAAGGGCUGAUUCAAUGAUUUUUGCCGGCGUCAGCAGACGACAUGCCCCAUGAUUGUUCCGGGAGUACGUCGGCCACGCAGCCGCCGAGACAUCAGACAUCCCUAGUCCGCGCACCUUGCCUUUAUCCUCCUUCAGUACAUGUGGCAUUUCAACCGGAUGCAAUUCCAGAUAGAUUAUUGGUGGAUAGAUCAACUCUUGCACACCUAAUAUAUGGAGUUUUACUUGUGUCCGGCUUCACAAGAGGUGUGUGAAAAUUUAUCUUUCAUCUCAACAUCGCCGCUACAUAUUCCUUGCAGUGAGUAACUUAAGUUUCUCGACAAAUUAAUUAUCAUAUACUACAUAGUUUUUUUUAUCUUAUACAUAGUUGUUAAAUGCAAUUUAAGCAUGCUUAUUAGUAUUUUGAUGGUGUACAAACACGUGGUUACCAUUUUUAGAAAAGGGCCCCGGGUUCUAGUUUCGCCCCG